rnacentral:rRNA from 1 species
AACGAACGCUGGCGGCAGGCCUAAAACAUGCAAGUCGAACGAUCUAGCAAUAGAUAGUGGCGCACGGGUGAGUAACACGUGGGAAUAUCCCUUUCACUACGGAACAACGUCGGGAAACUGACGCUAAUACCGUAUAAUGUCUCCGGACCAAAGAUUUAUCGGUGAAAGAUUAGCCCGCGUCUGAUUAGCUAGUUGGUGAGGUAACGGCUCACCAAGGCAACGAUCAGUAACUGGUCUGAGAGGAUGGUCAGCCACACUGGAACUGAGACACGGUCCAGACUCCUACAGGAGGCAGCAGUUAGGAAUAUUGGACAAUGGGGGCAACCCUGAUCCAGCCAUGCCGCGUGUGUGACGAAGGCCUUAGGGUUGUAAAGCACUUUCGUCUACGAAGAUAAUGACAGUAGUAGAAGAAGAAGCUCCGGCUAAAUUCGUGCCAGCCGCCGCAGUAA